rnacentral:rRNA from 1 species
UACAGAGGGGGCAAGCGUUGUUCGGAAUUACUGGGCGUAAAGGGCGCGUAGGCGGCCUUCUAAGUCAGACGUGAAAUCCCUCGGCUCAACCGGGGAACUGCGUCUGAGACUGGAAGGCUUGAAUCCGGGAGAGGGAUGUGGAAUUCCAGGUGUAGCGGUGAAAUGCGUAGAUAUCUGGAGGAACACCGGUGGCGAAGGCGGCAUCCUGGACCAAUUCUGACGCUGAGGAGCGAAAGCCAGGGGAGCAAACGGG